ACCAGUGACACCUAGCAGUAUGUAGUAACAAUCCAAUAAAAUUGAAAAAAAUCUUAAGGUAUAGUUCACAUGUGAUUCAGUCCUUCUAUCGUGUGUCCCGACUAGAUGACAGAUCUGGAUAAAUCGUCAAACCUUAUCAUCAGUUAUAUGAUAGAUUCGAUUAGCUCAAGUCCAAUUAUCAUUCUUAUGAGAACUCUUUUUCACCAACCACACUGCUGCGGCCAUAAACUCUCGAACUUAGUCUCUCAAAUCUCAUAAGACUACUCCUCUCUAUCAAG
rnacentral:lncRNA from 1 species